GUUCAGGGGGCUGCAGGAUACCAAAAAUGAUCUCUGGGUCAGGAAGCAACAUCUUUAGGCCAGGAAGUAGCCAAGACGUCCAGCAAAAGACAUGGAACCCCAGGAAUUACUCAGAUUUCUGGCUCCACACUGCAGCUCCAGCAGGACAGAAACAGGUUUACGGUCGUUGGCAGAGGCGCGAACGCAGGGUCGGUUUGGACACCUUCUAGAAUUUGGACACAUCUAGAAUUUCCACUCCGUGGACAGAAAAGCCGCAGCGUCCCUGCAGGCGCAAUGCCAGGGAGAUUGACAGAAAACAUUGGACUCCCUCUGACACUGAUUGAAAAACACAGCCCUUGGCCAGCCUAUGUCACAUAUAUCUCUCCAGCAGUAAUCCGACUCACUGAAAAAAGCUGGGCCAGGAAUCUGGAAUGCAUAUAUGCUGCUGAGAAAAACCGCAAACCAAUGCGGCCGAGCAAACCUAGUGACAUGAAGCUAAAGAGGAGGAAGUCAUCCAAGCCCUCAGAACUCAUGCUGAAUGAUGGUGUGUCAGAGACCUUGCUAUCUGGGUGGGAAUGCUCCACCACAAAUGUGAGUCCCAUAUUUGUCCCAGAACCUGCACAUCUCCAAAUGGAAGCCAGAGAGGGGCCCACAUCAACCUACAACAAGAUCAUUUUCUCCAGGAGGCCUGAGAUGAAGAAACUCCCAUUUGGCUUACUACAGGCCAGCAAGGAGACACAUACUAAAGCUUAGGAAAGAGCCCUGUAGCCACGGCCUGAGAAUGUACAACAAUUACUCUCCAUUUGCUACAAAUUACAUCAGGUCCUUGAAAGUUGAAGUUCUUAUCAGAACGGAGAUCUUAUCAGAAAGUGAGCUGGGGGUAUUUGGAUAGACAACCCAACACUGGAGUCUGUUGGAGUGGGAUAGCUAUGGAUUCUGAAAGCCAAACUGUAGGCAUGGUUGUCCACGUCCAGACAGCAGACAGAAACCACAGCAGUGACUUUACCAGCCAUAAUUUAAUAGACUCGUUAACCAGGCAACUAAAGAGGGCAGAAAGUUGUUUUUUUCCUAGCUGCCUUCAGUAUAAGAGAUAGAACUCUCAUCUCUCCAACAACAUGCCUACCUUGGAUGCUGCCAUUUUUCCUGCCAUAAUGAUAAUGGACUGAACCUCUGAACCGAAAUAAGCAUGGAGCCUUUCCAGGAUCCUGACAUCCAUCUGGAGCCAUCAGAGUGUGCAUGAAGUGGAAUGUGGAUUAUUUCUACGUAACCUCAUCGACUUGUUCAAACCAGGGAGGCCUGGAGUGUCUCAGGUUACUCUGAGCACAGUGAACGCUCAUCUUGAAGAAGAAGCUGGCUUUCUUUGAUGUCUCACAGUCCAUAGACACCUCUUAUUUAUCUCC